AGCAGCCGCGGUAAUUCCAGCUCCAAUAGCGUAUAUUAAAGUUGUUGCAGUUAAAAGCUCGUAGUUGAAUUUCGGGAUCAAUAUUUCGGUCAUGCCGUUGGUAUGCACUGUUAUCAUUGAUUUCUCACCUUCUAAAGAACCGUAAUGCCAUUAAUUUGGUGUUACGGGGAAUUAGGACUGUUACUUUGAAAAAUUAGAGUGUUUAAAGCAAGCUAACGCUUGAAUACAUUAGCAUGGAAUAAUGAAAUAGGACGUUCGAUCUUAUUUUGUUGGUUUCUAGGAUUGACGUAAUGAUUAAUAGGGAUAGUUGGGGGCAUUAGUAUUCAAUUGUCAGAGGUGAAAUUCUUGGAUUUAUUGAAGACUAACUACUGCGAAAGCAUUUGCCAAGGAUGUUUUCAUUAAUCAAGAACGAAAGUUAGGGGAUCGAAGACGAUCAGAUACCGUCGUAGUCUUAACCAUAAACUAUGCCGACAAGGGAUCGGAUGAUGUUAAUUUUUUAAUGACUCAUUCGGCGCCUUAA
rnacentral:sRNA from 1 species